GCAAUUCAACAAAUUACAAAAAGUGGAUUGCAUCAGCCGUAUCGGUUGGAUGUGCGUAAUUACGCUAACAUUUACAAAUAAUCAAGAGAUUACAAUUUUAAAUGAAAAUAACGAAAAAGAAGUCAUUACGUUUGUAUCUGAUGAAAUUUUAGAAACAAUUAAAGUAGAAGAUCCUAGUGUAGAAAUUGUAGGGUUUAUUGAAGAAAAUGAAAGACCAAAAAUAGUGGGCAGAGCCCAACACUAUAGAUUAUUAAAAUUGAUGAAACAACAACAGUCAUCAUAGAGUUUAAGUCGUAGCACGGAAUGCCGAAAUAGAACGUAUCGAACAUCAUUUACAACCUA